GAUGAAGAACGCAGUAAAAUGCGAUACUUGGUGUGAAUUGCAGAAUCCCGUGAACCAUCGAGUCUUUGAACGCAAGUUGCGCCCGAAGCCAUUAGGCCGAGGGCACGCCUGCCUGGGCGUCACACGUCGUUGCCCCCCCAUCUACUCCUUCGGGAUUGCGGGGGGCGGAUGAUGGCCUCUCGUGCGCCUCGUCGCGCGGUUGGCCUAAAUGCCAAGUCCUCGGCGACGCACGCCACGACAAUCGGUGGUUGCGAAACCUCGGUUGCCUGUCGUGUGCGGUCGUCGCGCAUCGAGGGCUCGAAAAAAUUGCCGGGCUUCGGCUCGACUUUCAACGCGACCCCAGGUCAGGCGGGGUUACCCGCUGAAUUUAAGCAUAUCAAUAAGCGGAGGA
rnacentral:misc_RNA from 1 species